AGCCGUGUGAUAAGCACAAAGCGAACUAUUCUUUCGCCUUUUACUAAAGAAUACCGUGUGCUUGUCACUCUAAGCGGCAUACGCCAAUUUUUGAAAGGGCUUUUCUUUAGUAAAGUU